rnacentral:rRNA from 1 species
AUUGAACGCUGGCGGCAGGCCUAACACAUGCAAGUCGAACGGUAACAGGAAGCAGCUUGCUGCUUUGCUGACGAGUGGCGGACGGGUGAGUAAUGUCUGGGAAACUGCCUGAUGGAGGGGGAUAACUACUGGAAACGGUAGCUAAUACCGCAUAAUGUCGCAAGACCAAAGAGGGGGACCUUCGGGCCUCUUGCCAUCGGAUGUGCCCAGAUGGGAUUAGCUAGUAGGUGGGGUAAAGGCUCACCUAGGCGACGAUCCCUAGCUGGUCUGAGAGGAUGACCAGCCACACUGGAACUGAGACACGGUCCAGACUCCUACGGGAGGCAGCAGUGGGGAAUAUUGCACGAUGGGCGCAAGCCUGAUGCAGCCAUGCCGCGUGUAUGAAGAAGGCCUUCGGGUUGUAAAGUACUUUCAGCGGGGAGGAAGGGAGUAAAGUUAAUACCUUUGCUCAUUGACGUUACCCGCAGAAGAAGCACCGGCUAACUCCGUG